AUUUUAACUAUUAAAUUUUGCCCAUCUAUGUUUAAAACGUGUAUUUUAGUCUAAUUUCAUGUUAAGUGCAUGCAUUGAAGCUAAAAGUGAUAAAAAAUAUACCGAAGUGAAAAAACAAGAUAGAUUUAUGUGUUAUUCGUUUUGAGCAACCAUAUUUUACUACUAUUUCAGCCAUUUCUAUUGGUAUGACGUAGUACAUUGUGCGAUUGACAGACUAUAUUUCUGUGCGUGACAAGAAUACUUCUGUAUUACAGGUUACGGCCGUUCAAUGAAAAUUCCUGGCGUAAUAAAACCGGACACGAAGUGACACGGAGCAGAUAAAACUUCAACGAAAUAAGCUAUGUAAAUAAACGCACGCGAAGGGGGAUAAAGAGGAGAAGAGUGGCCAGUGAAACGAGGUCAUUGGUAGCUUUUUCCCCCCCGUUCAUUUUUACGCUCGCCGCCAGCGGAGAAACCCCAGAUUCUUUGCAAUUUUUCAUCUUUAUCCAUUGACAUAGAAGCUCUACCUUAAUGAUGUUCCUGAUGAAUUUUCUUGGAAGCUCAUCCGAUGACUGCUCAUCUCAGAGUAACAGUAUCGUCAACCUACUGGUAUUUGGGCUUUUUCACUAUUAGUUUCAUUUAUUUUCUACAAACGGUGAGUCUUUUAUUUUUUAAUUCCUCCAGUCUCCAACCAUAUCAUAAAAUGAAUGAAUCAAUAUGGAAUGACUGGUUGU
rnacentral:lncRNA from 1 species